rnacentral:rRNA from 1 species
UACGAAGGGAGCUAGCGUUGUUCGGAAUCAUUGGGCGUAAAGCGCACGUAGGCGGACCGCUAAGUCGGAUGUGAAAGCCCUCGGCUUAACCGAGGAAGUGCAUUCGAAACUGACGGUCUUGAGUAUGGAAGAGGGUCGCGGAAUUCCCGGUGUAGAGGUGAAAUUCGUAGAUAUCGGGAGGAACACCAGUGGCGAAGGCGGCGACCUGGGCCAAUACUGACGCUGAGGUGCGAAAGCGUGGGGAGCAAACAGG